rnacentral:rRNA from 1 species
UACGGAGGGUGCAAGCGUUAUCCGGAUUCACUGGGUUUAAAGGGUGCGUAGGCGGACAGAUAAGUCAGUGGUGAAAUCUCCGAGCUUAACUCGGAAACUGCCGUUGAUACUAUUUGUCUUGAAUACUGUGGAGGUAAGCGGAAUAUGUCAUGUAGCGGUGAAAUGCUUAGAUAUGACAUAGAACACCAAUGGCGAAGGCAGCUUACUAGACUGUUAUUGACGCUGAGGCGCGAAAGCGUGGGGAGCAAACAGG